CCUACGGGGGGCAGCAGUGGGGAAUAUUGCACAAUGGGCGGAAGCCUGAUGCAGCAACGCCGCGUGAGCGAUGAAGGCCUUCGGGAUGUAAAGCUCUAUCCGCAGGGAAGAUAAUGACGGUACUUGAGGAGGAAGCCCCGGCUAACUACGUGCCAGCAGCCGCGGUAAUACGUAGGGGGCUAGCGUUAUCCGGAAUUACUGGGCGUAAAGGGAGCGCAGGCGGCUUCGUAAGUCUGGGGUGAAAGGCUACGGCUCAACCGUAGUAAGCCUUUGAA
rnacentral:rRNA from 1 species